CUGGCACUCUCGACCCCUACUGCUCACUACCACCUCACCCCUCUGUGUGGUACAAAUGUUUAUUCCUCCAGAAAAGUUUCUGACCCCAGCCUGGGUACCAGGGCUUCUCUGGUGGAUCUGAAGCCCUGCAGGACCUUGAGACCAGCCAAUCAGUGUCCUUGACAGAAUUCCAGGUUGCCCUUCAGUCCCUCAC
rnacentral:lncRNA from 1 species